rnacentral:rRNA from 1 species
UACCGUAGCUUGCUACACCAUAGACUGUGAGUUGCGAACGGGUGAGUAACGCGUAGGUAACCUGCCUGGUAGCGGGGGAUAACUAUUGGAAACGAUAGCUAAUACCGCAUAAUAUUAAUUAUUGCAUGAUAAUUGAUUGAAAGAUGCAACUGCAUCACUACCAGAUGGACCUGCGUUGUAUUAGCUAGUAGGUGAGGUAACGGCUCACCUAGGCGACGAUACAUAGCCGACCUGAGAGGGUGAUCGGCCACACUGGGACUGAGACACGGCCCAGACUCCUACGGGAGGCAGCAGUAGGGAAUCUUCGGCAAUGGACGAAAGUCUGACCGAGCAACGCCGCGUGAGUGAAGAAGGUUUUCGGAUCGUAAAGCUCUGUUGUAAGAGAAGAACGGGUGUGAGAGUGGAAAGUUCACACUGUGACGGUAUCUUACCAGAAAGGGACGGCUAACUACGUGCCAGCAGCCGCGGUAAUACGUAGGUCCCGAGCGUUGUCCGGAUUUAUUGGGCGUAAAGCGAGCGCAGGCGGUUAGAUAAGUCUGAAGUUAAAGGCUGUGGCUUAACCAUAGUACGCUUUGGAAACUGUUUAACUUGAGUGCA